rnacentral:rRNA from 1 species
GACGAACGCUGGCGGCGUGCUUAACACAUGCAAGUCGAACGAAGUGGCGAACGGGUGAGUAACGCGUAAUCAACCUGCCCUUCAGAGGGGGACACCACUUGGAAACGAAUGCUAAUACCGCAUACUGAAGAGGGGGUUUGCGUCGGAUUAGCUAGUUGGAGGGGUAACGGCCCACCAAGGGGAUGAUCAGUAUGCUGGCUGGGGGGGUGAACCGGCACAAUUGGAAUGGAACCAGGGCCAGACCUCUUCGGGAAGGAACAGUGGGGGAACUUCGGAAAUGGACGAAAGUCCGAAGGCGCCACGCCGCGUUAUAGAUGACGGGCUUCGGGUUGUAAAACUCUUUUAAGCGGGAAGCGGUACCGGAAGAGAAAGCCACGGCUAACUCCGUGCCAGCAGCCGCGGUAAUAC